UCUCCGUAGGUGAACCUGCGGAGGGAUCAUUACAGAGCAUCAUGCCCUUCGGGGUAGAUCUCCCACCCUAUGUAUUACAUACCUUUUGUUGCUUUGGCAGGCCGCCUUCGGGCUCUCGGCUCCGGCUGAGGUGCGCCUGCCAGAGGACCCCAACUCUGUGUUUAGUGUCGUCUGAGUACUAUAUAAUAAGUUAAAACUUUCAACAACGGAUCUCUUGGUUCUGGCAUCGAUGAAGAACGCAGC
rnacentral:misc_RNA from 1 species